GUGUCAGCAGCCGCGGUAAUACGUAGGGUGCGAGCGUUAAUCGGAAUUACUGGGCGUAAAGAGUGCGUAGGCGGUUGCUGAAGUCCGCUGUGAAAGCCCCGGGCUCAACCUGGGAAUGGCAGUGGAAACUAGGCGACUUGAAUCUGGCAGAGGGGGGUGGAAUGCCGCGUGUAGCAGUGAAAUGCGUAGAGAUGCGGCGGAACACCGAUGGCGAAGGCAGCCCCCUGGGCUGAGAUUGACGCUCAGGCACGAAAGCGUGGGGAGCAAACAGGAUUAGAAACCCCCGUAGUCC
rnacentral:rRNA from 1 species